AAAGCAAUCGAUACCUAGAUAUUUACCUUCUCUACUGGUGACUAAAACAGCAUAGUUAACUCGUGAACUAAUUGGCAAUUUGCAUGUUUCAAAUUUACAUUUCAAAUGUCUAUCACUUGGCAUACCCAAUUAAAAUCAGUAUGAUACAUCUUUACAACUGCUGGACUUAAAAUACUUAGAAAAUUAUGUUGCUUGUACUCUCAUUCCGUCAAGCUUCAGCUUCUAAUAUCCUUUGGGUGCUGGCUAUGUACUGAAUAGGCUACAUCUUGUUGAUAUUUCAUAUUGAAAAUAAACCUUCAUAAUUAGAUAUUAUUUUGUGCCCAAGGAAGGGGCUCCACUGCUGUGUUGUUGAAGUAUGUUUAAAUUGACAUGAAUUUUGAUGAUAUUUGUUGUAAUCAUGCCCCUUUAAUAUUAUAUUAUCCAGCCCUUCUAAAACCUUUGCUACUGAUUGUAUUGGUGAGAACAUAAGAUUUCCUGGUUAUGCAUGCUUGUUUGCUCAUGUUAGAGUAUGUUAUAUUUGUCAUGAGACUUACAAUGCUUUUAUUCUUUGGAUGUCCAGGUGA
rnacentral:misc_RNA from 1 species